rnacentral:rRNA from 1 species
AGAGUUUGAUCCUGGCUCAGGACGAACGCUGGCGGCGCGCCUAACACAUGCAAGUCGAACGAGCGAGAGAGAGCUUGCUUUCUCGAGCGAGUGGCGAACGGGUGAGUAACGCGUGAGGAACCUGCCUCAAAGAGGGGGACAACAGUUGGAAACGACUGCUAAUACCGCAUAAGCCCACGACCCGGCAUCGGGUUGAGGGAAAAGGAGCAAUCCGCUUUGAGAUGGCCUCGCGUCCGAUUAGCUAGUUGGUGAGGUAACGGCCCACCAAGGCGACGAUCGGUAGCCGGACUGAGAGGUUGAACGGCCACAUUGGGACUGAGACACGGCCCAGACUCCUACGGGAGGCAGCAGUGGGGAAUAUUGCACAAUGGGGGAACCCUGAUGCAGCGACGCCGCGUGGAGGAAGAAGGUCUUCGGAUUGUAAACUCCUGUUGUUGAGGAAGAUAAUGACGGUACUCAACAAGGAAGUGACGGCUAACUACGUGCCAGCAGCCGCGGUAAAACGUAGGUCACAAGCGUUGUCCGGAAUUACUGGGUGUAAAGGGAGCGCAGGCGGGAAGACAAGUUGGAAGUGAAAUCUAUGGGCUCAACCCAUAAACUGCUUUCAAAACUGUNUUUCUUGAGUAGUGCAGAGGUAGGCGGAAUCCCCGGUGUAGCGGUGGAAUGCGUAGAUAUCGGGAGGAACACCAGUGGCGAAGGCGGCCUACUGGGCACCAACUGACGCUGAGGCUCGAAAGUGUGGGUAGCAAACAGGAUUAGAUACNCUGGUAGUCCACACCGUAAACGAUGAUUACUAGGUGUUGGAGGAUUGACCCCUUCAGUGCCGCAGUUAACACAAUAAGUAAUCCACCUGGGGAGUGCGACCGCAAGGUUGAAACUCAAAGGAAUUGACGGGGGCCCGCACAAGCAGUGGAGUAUGUGGUUUAAUUCGACGCAACGCGAAGAACCUUACCAAGUCUUGACAUCCCUUGACGAACAUAGAAAUAUGUUUUCUCUUCGGAGCAAGGAGACAGGUGGUGCAUGGUUGUCGUCAACUCGUGUCGUGAGAUGUUGGGUCAAGUCCCGCAACGAGCGCAACCCUUACUGUCAGUUACUACGCAAGAGGACUCUGGCAGGACUGCCGUUGACAAAACGGAGGAAGGUGGGGAUGACGUCAAAUCAUCAUGCCCUUUAUGACUUGGGCUACACACGUACUACAAUGGCGUUAAACAAAGAGAAGCAAGACCGCGAGGUGGAGCAAAACUCAGAAACAACGUCCCAGUUCGGACUGCAGGCUGCAACUCGCCUGCACGAAGUCGGAAUUGCUAGUAAUCGUGGAUCAGCAUGCCACGGUGAAUACGUUCCCGGGCCUUGACACACCGCCCGUC